rnacentral:rRNA from 1 species
CCUACGGGAGGCAGCAGUGGGGGAUAUUGCGCAAUGGGGGAAACCCUGACGCAGCAACGCCGCGUGAAGGAAGAAGGUUUUCGGAUUGUAAACUUCUUUUAUUAAGGACGAAAGAUGACGGUACUUAAUGAAUAAGCUCCGGCUAACUACGUGCCAGCAGCCGCGGUAAUA